rnacentral:rRNA from 1 species
GACGAACGCUGGCGGCGUGCCUAAUACAUGCAAGUCGAACGCAGUGGGGACGGGUGAGUAACACGUGGGUAACCUCCCAUCAGAGGGGAUAACACUUGGAAACAGGUGCUAAACCGAUCCUGAUGGAUGGCCCCGCGGUGCAUUAGCUAGUUGGGGGGGUAACGGCUCACCAAGGCAACGAUGCAUAGCGGACCGGCGAGGUUGAUCGGCCAAACUAGGACUGAGACACGGCCCAGACUCCUACGGGAGGCAGCAGUAGGGAAUCUUCGGCAAGGGACGAAAGUCUGACCGAGCAACGCCGCGUGAGUGAAGAAGGUUUUCGGAGCGUAAAACCCUGUUGUUAGAGAAGCGGUAUCUAACCAGAAAGCCACGGCUAACUACGUGCCAGCAGCCGCGGUAAUUC